CUGGCUCUUGGGGAAGGAGGGGUCCUGCUUGCUCCCUAGGCUUUGUGCUGGGCUUGCUGGGCAGCAGGAAGAGUCUGGGCAGACAUGUUCACAGUCGUCCACGUUCCCUCAGGCCCCUGGCUGAUGCACCUGCCGCAUGAGCCCCUCUCUGUGGCUCUCCCCUGAUAUCCUGGUAUUGCCGCCACCCUCACCACCAGCACCUUCACAUCUGCUAACAGUUGGAAUAUUAGCCUGGAGCUAACUGCUGCCAAUCCUCCUCCUUUCACGGAGGAAGACCGGCCCCGAGCCAACAUCCAUGCCCAUCUUCCUCCACCGCACAUGUGGGACGCCCACCACAGCAUGGUGUGCCAAGCAGUGCCAUGUCCGCACCCGGCAUCCGGACCAGCAAACCCUGGGCUGCCAAAGUGAAAGGUGCGUACUUAACCACUGCGGCACCAGGCCGGCCCCCAAUCCUCCUCUUUUUGCAUGAGGAAGAUUGUUGCUGAGCUAACAUCUGUGCCAGUCUUCCUCUAUUUUGUAUGUGGUAUGCCACCACAGUGUGGCUUGACAAGCAGUGUGUUGGUCCACAUCCAGGAUCUGAACCCACAAACCCCAGGCCGCUGAAGCAGAGCAUGGAAACUCAGUCACUAAGCCACCGGGCUGGUCCCGCAACACUUUUUUCUAAGUAGCAUCAGCCAACUCUAGUGGGCCAGGGGGUUUGCCUGGGGACUCUGAGCCAUUGACAGCCCCAACCCCAACUCCAAUAUGCCCCCAAACCAUCCAGUACAAUGAGCACUCGCUGCUGGGGUCAGCUUAACACUUAGUAAUCUUUCUUGGCUGGACUUGAUAUGAUAUGGGGCCACUAGGAAGAAAGCUGUUCCCCCAAAGUGCUUCCCCGUGAUCCUGUCACAUGGCCUAGAAAGCCCAGUAGAGUUUCGAGUUUCCUCAGAAGAGAAUGCUCUAAGUCAUCCCACCUCUGCUGACUGCUGUACGAGAAAAACCAAAACAUACGGUGGAGACCUGGGUUCCAGCCUGGCUUUCUACUGACUCAAUGGGGAGCCUUGGGUAAGCCGCCCACCACCUCUAGGGGCUCAGCUUCCUGCUCCAGAAAAUGGCCAUUAUCAAGGCUACCCUGCCCACCUCCCCGGACCCAGACGAUGCUCCAGUGGGCUCUGCAGGUUCCCUCUUUGCCAGCCUGGCCCAGAGCAGCCCAGGCAAGUAUUAGCAGAGGGCUCAGAGCCCUGGAGCUGGCAUCUAUCCUCCACUCCCUUGGCAUUCCCUGCAACUCCCCCAUCCCGUAAACAUGCUCUCUCCACUUGAUCCUUUCUCCCUGCUUGCUGUUCCCUCACACACCUCCAUGUUCCUGCCUCCACUCCUUUGCUCACACUGUCCUCUCCUCUUGAAAACCACUCUCCUCAGUCUCCGCUGGAAUCCUCCCCAUUCUCUGAGGCAGGGAGCAGAUGUCCGCUGACAUCUGUGAGGUGGGUUUUAAUGAACCAAGCAAUUUCCCACCCUCCUCCUCACGUGAGCCUCACACCCUCCCCCUCAGUGCACACUGGCUCUGCUUAUGGUGCAGGCGAGGAACCUGACGCCCAGGGAGGUAAGGGGUUUGCUCCAAGUCAAACAGCUCUUAUGCAACUGUGAAACGGGAUCCUAAACCAAGGUCGUUGACUCCCCGCCAGAACUGGUUUUCCUACAGCACACUGAGUCUUUGAUGACCAUCCAGCUCAUGCCCAUCACUUCCUCCACAAGUCCCAGGAGCCCUCACAGUCAGCUUGGAAAGUCAUUGUCCUCCAACUCCUCCUAUUUCCUCUCCUUGCCCAGCCUGCCAGCUCCGCAAGGGCUAGGGGAUACAGCUCCCUCAUUUACUGCUGGGGGACUGGAUAGAUG
ensembl:lncRNA